rnacentral:rRNA from 1 species
ACGUAGGGGGCAAGCGUUGUCCGGAAUUAUUGGGCGUAAAGGGCGUGUAGGUGGCUCGUGAAGUCAGGAGUGAAAGCCCGGGGCUCAACCCCGGGACUGCUUUUGAAACCAGCGGGCUUGAGUACAGGAGAGGGAAGUGGAAUUCCCAGUGUAGCGUUGAAAUGCGUAGAUGUUGGGAUGAACACCAGAGGCGAAAGCAGCUUCCUUGCCCGGAACUGACACUGAGCCGCGUAAGCGUUGGGAGCUAACAG